ACCAUGCCUGAGCUGGAGCAACUCAGUGUGCCCCGACCCCCCGCGGAUGCCGGCCGUAUUCAGAGGAACAUCCUUGAGGAGCAUGUCGAGCUGUGGUGGUUCAAGGACCCUAAGAAAUCCAUCUUGUGCUAUGGGGUGGCCGUGGUGCUAAUUCUGGCCUGCGGGACAGGGGGCAUUGUCCUCCUCUAUAGCACCAGUAGCCGGUCCGGGGAGUGGCGGCUGGCUGUGGGCACCACGCUCUGCCUCCUGGCCUUGCUAGUGCUGCUGAAGCAGCUGCUGAGCUCUGCUAUCCAGGACAUGAAUUGCAUCCGGAGCCGGAACCAAAUUGAGCUGCUGAAGAGUGGUGGCUUUUCGGACUGUGUGAUGCUGCUGCUUAGCGCUCUGGUUCUGCUGGUCUGUGGCGUGGUCCUCACUGUCCUCUCCACUACGACCAUGCAGCUCAGCCCCUCACGGCCUCUGGCCAGCAUGUUCUCCAGUGGAGUCAUCCUCAUGACUGCUGGGGCUGCCAUUCUACUCUGCCUCCUGCUUUAUGUGCUCAGCACCUCCUGCUGCCCAGUUGCUCCCAGGAGACUGGGCACAGGUGACAUUAGCAUCUUCACCAUCUCCAGCCGACUCGCUGUGAACCGCCGGCUUGCCACCACCUCCAGCAUGGCCAACCUGAUCUAAGGCCUGGGCAGAGCCAACAUGCCCUUCAGUAUGGCAAAUGUGCACUAACCCUGGGGCAGGGCAAGCCCAUGCCCGCCACCCUUUCAGCAGGGUCAAGCUAAUCUUAACCUGGGGAAGAGCUGAAAUUUGAGUGUUGCCUUGACCCAACUGCAGUUAUCAUUGAAAGCAGACUGGCAUUUGCACUUUACUCAGGCCAAUUGGCCUGAACCCUGGCAAAGACAAGGCAGUUCCUGAGUUGAUUUAACUGGAACUUUACAAGUAGGACACUGGUCCUAUUUUAUUUUUUACCUCAGCAAAGUCUUCUGUGGCAUUUGCUGUCCAUCCCUCUGACACACCGGGAUCCCUGCUCUGAAAGACGAAGAGGAAGUGUGCAUGUCCUGGGCCUGGCCCUGUUGAGAAGCCCUUGCUGCUCUGGGGAGAUCCUGAAGUGUUUGCUGCUAAAAUAAUCUGUUUCUCAUGUAAGAGUCUUGCACUCUACUGGCUGGCAGGGCUAUGACUGCUGGUGGUGGAGGAGUCUCCUACAGCUCUGGGGUAGAGCUGCUCCUUGGGGAUCCAAGUCCUAGCACGGAUUGUUUCCAAACAAGUUGUGCCACUGUGAGUUUGUGCACGUGUCCCUGAGACACCAAGCCUGCUGGGUGACCUGUCCCAAGCUUCCCUCCAGCAGCUGAGCAUGGAGCCAUGUCCCCACCGCUAGAAGGACUUACAUGGCUACCCCUUUGAAGCUGUGGAUGUGAUCCAGAGGGAUUUUCAAGCCGGCAAACUCACCAGUACUGCUAGGAACCUGCUAUAUGGACUUUGAAGUCUUUGUAUGUAUGUAACUGCUUUACCAUUUAACAUCUCUCUUGUUGUUCUUCCUUUUUACUUGGCUGGUAUUUUGGGUAAGAUCCAAACCUAUACUGACCUGGUAAUGUGGCUGACCCUUCUGAGGUCAGAAGAACAUUUUGCAUAUGUGAGCAGAGUUUAAAAUAACUUCUCACUAUACUGGACCUAGGUGCUGACUGGGGGCCAGAGACUGGAAUGCAGUAAAUGGGGCUGUGUGAUUUCUUUUUUUCCUUCUUGAUAAUCGGUGUGGGGGAUCAGAAGCACAGUUUGUGACUAGUUGGGAGGUUUAACUUCAGUGUUACCCAUCAGUCUUGGGAAUAUCUGCUCUCCCUUUUGCAGCCUGCCCUGACCUUGGCAUUGCCAGUGAGGGCUGCCCCAGGCACCAUGAGUCACGGACCUAACCUAGGGAAAACUGUUGGACAAAUAAGGGACUCUAACCAAUAACCUCUCUCUGAAAUGGAACUUUGAUACAUUUUGAUUAGGAUUGUUUUGCAGUUUAAGUUUCAAAAUGCUCUAUUUUGUUUUGGAUUUUUUUUCUCUGUAUUUUAAUCAAUAAUUCUCCAAAUUUUGCCAUUAAUUUUCUAGUGUGUUUGCCAUGGAACUAAGGCCGGGUCUACACUUUAAAAAUUUAUACCAGCAAAGCUAUGUCAAUUAAGGGUGUGGAGGUUUUAUGGGUAUAAGCCAAGUGUUACAUACACUUAUACCCUCAUAAAAGUGCUUUUCCAGUGUAGCUUACUCUAUUCAGGGAACUUGUAUAAGCUAUAUUGACAGAAGCACUUCUAUGUCAGUAAAGUCUUCAUCUACACUAGUAGCAGUUGCUAGUAUUGCUAUACCAGUGCGAAAAAAAACUUUUCUAGCAUAGACAAGUCCUAAGCAAGCCACGUUCUCUGUACUCAAAACACCAAACCAUGUUGUACAGUGAUGGGUCAUGUUAACACCUUUGACUCUGAGCCCAUUUAUUCCAUCAGAAUUAACACAUCUCCCGUCAAACACAAUUCACGUGAUUCUAGGAGCUGGGACUUUAAAGAAAACACCAAAUAUCGUGAGUCAUGAUAAAAUCAGGAUAGUUGGCACCAAUGCUUUCCCAGCAGUUAAUUAUGUUGGAAGAAGCCAGACUGGGAAGGCAAUUUUAAGAGUAGAAACAGACUCACUUUGAAUCCCAGCCCUAUAAUUCUCUUUCUGAAGGAAUCAUGCUAAGGGGAGAUGGCAGGCCAGAGAUGACGUCAGGAUCGCAGGGCUGUGGGAAGAGGGGAUUCCAGCUGGGGAUAGUUAGAAAUCCCUAAUGGUGUCCCUAACCCCCUAAAAUGUGGCUACUUUCUUGGUGCUAUCCAUCCUGGAAUCAGCUGAUUUUUUUCCCCAAAGGAUUAAAAGUUUCAGAACCCUUUGUUUUAAGGAGUAGUGUAUUAACCCCAGUGUUUUGGCCCAGUUCUAAUUCUGGGACUUCCAUCCUGUUCCAUGAAUCUGUUUGAUUAUUUAAUAUUUGCACAUAGCAUUCUACAGAGGAAACAAAGACAUAAGGAGUGUAACCCCCAAGGAGAUUACAUAGAUUUCUGGGACCCUGUCUGCUGGCAGCUCAGGGAGAGGCACACUGUCCCUGGCAGGGAGAGGGAGCCAAGGCAGACUCAGAGUCUGCCCAGCAACCAAUAGGCCCUCCCAGGGAGUUGAGAAAAGGGGAGAAGCCAUGUUGGAGUGAGUCUAGAGCCAGUCAGGAAAAGGGCAGGACUGGCAGUGUGGGGAGCUGGUGAGUCCCAGGCCAGGAUGCAGGGUUCCCCCUGAGAAUAGGCUUCUAGGGACCUGAUAGCAGAUCCCUCCGCUGGGAUUUUCCUUCCCCACUGAUGAUUCCCAAUUUGUAGAGUUUGCUGGGAAACUUCCCCAGCCAGGCUGAGUUCACCCUCCAGCUCCCUAGGUGAGAACAGUCACCAUAUGGUCAGCUUUGCUCUGUGUGCUAGUCCAGGGCUGCUGCCUGCGGAGUGUGUGUCUGGAGGCUGGGCUAGGAGGCUACAGUUUGGAUGUUAGUGUAGUUGUGUAACCUACUACACCAGGAGCCCUGCACCCCUUUGUGGUGAGGGGAAAUCCUGGGACUGACACAGCCUGACUCCUGCCUGAAAAGGAUCCCUGCCAGCAGAGAGCAGCCCCUCUGCAGUGACUGAGGAGUCCAGAGUCAUCUUCGAACCUGAGGAUCAUUCAUGAAGUUUGUGAGUGCACAUCUUUUAGUUAGUCAGGUAAUUUGUUUUGGGGACCCCCUACUCCCUGAACUGUGUCCUCAAGCGAGGGAGUAAGGGUUUGAGGAUUUUAUAACCUGCUGCAUAUUACACCUGUGGAGGGAUUUACCACCUUCUCCCACUUGUGAGUCCUUUGGGCUGUCAGCCACCCUGCUCAACCCAGUCAGGCACCCUGCAAAACCACUGUAAAGAAGAAUUUUGUGGUUAUAGGUCAUCAAGGGCCGCAACAAAGUACGUGUAGUAGUGGGACACUAAUUUUACAUUUGAUAUAUCAGUCAUGGGUAUUGUGACGGGGCAAGGCCAGAUGGCUAUAGAAAAGUAGUGGGAGAUAGAUAUAUUAGCUCCAGGCUAAACAAAUCCCUGGUACCAGGAUAAGUGAAAUGGCAGCUGCUCCAGGUCAAUUAAGACACCUGGGGCCAAUUAAGAACUUUCCAGAAGGCAGGGAGAAUGCUAGGUUGAUUGGGACACCUGAAGCCAAUCAGGGGCUGGCUGAAACUAGUUAAAAGCCUCCUAGUUAGCCAGGAAACGUGGAACCCAUGGAGGCAAGGACAGAGCUUUGUCACAGUAUUUUCAGAGUGGGCACCAGUGACCCUAAAAACAGUGUUUUACCCUGUUGUGUUGUAUUUGUCUCCUGUUUAAUAUAAUUAUUGUGUUGAAUAUAUUGUAUGUAUUUGUGUUAUUUCUUGGAAGUUUCCAACUAUCUGCCAAGUAAGUGUGGAUUACUCUGUAGUUAGAAUUUUCUGCCCAAGCUGCCUUGGUGACCCUGCCAGAAAAGAGCGAGGGGGGUGGAGGCACAGCCAAAUAAUUUCAUAGGAAAAAAGAAAGAAGAUACACCCUGCUGGGUGGGUGGCAGGAUCCAAAAUAAUCCAGACCUGUAAGCAGAUUGGCAUUAAAGGAGGUAACCAGGUGGAGAGGGGGUGCUACAAGAGUUUAUGCUGUUCCACAUAAAGAAAUGGAGUACUUGUGGCACCUUAGAGACUAACCAAUUUAUUUGAGCAUGAGCUUUCCCACCUGGUAACACUGGCAGGGAAGAAGGGUUUUUUCACAAAAUAAAGAGAGGAAGCUGCUUGUCUUCACCCUGCACACAGUUAAAAAAAUGUGUAUUUUAUUAGGUUGACACAUGCUUGUGCAGUUUCUACUAGGCCAAGGAUUCUCCUUUGCCUCCUGUUCUCUUAAACAGAUGGCUGUAUUUCACCCUUGAUGAAGAAUCCCCACAGAUGCAGCCUGUAAAGCCGGGACCCCUCAGGAGGAUAAUAGGCACGAGGAUAACAUCACUGUGUGUUAGAGAUAUCAUCAAACUGGUUUCAGGACUCAGCAGCCAGCUCCCACUGCAAGUGCUGGGCCUUGUAACCAGGAGGGCAGCCAAUCAAAAGGAAUAAACCCAAACAAGGUCCAGCUCUGAAGUGGAAGGAGCCGUGAGAGUGACCUGUGAGACAUGCUGUGCAGCCACACACAGUCAGGUUAAACAACAGAGCCCGUUUGGCACCACAGCCAGACAGCUUCCCAUAUGCUCCUCUUAUAACUCUCCCUGGCUUUUCCCCUCCUAUGGCUUCUGAGCUCUCAUAUGAGCUAGGAUCAGAAAGCAGGCUUGAUACACAGGUUAGUGGCUUUGUCAUGUUGAUGGGCGGUACCUCCCUCUCCAGAGCAGAGUCACUAGAGGCUGCAGAGAGACAGGAUCUCAUGGGGGAUGUUCUAGCCUUUGUCUUCUCUGUGCAAUUUCACCAGACUCAGGAGUGUCUGUGCUGGUGUGUGUCCGUCUCAAUGCUGGUCUUCUGGAGCUCUGGCUCAGGCUGGCGUGCAUGAGGCUGGUGCUGAGGGUGGGGGGUCUCUUCAUGGCCUCAUGCUAGGAGCAAAGGCUGCACCAGGCUGGCUUUCACUUUUUGCUUUAUGGCAUUUCAAAUACUGAAGCAAAGAUGUACAGAUGAGUAAAGAGCAGUUUGUUUUCAGUGCCAAGACAGACCUCCCUGCACUUUGGGUUAUACUCAAAGCCCUGGCUGGGAUGAUUUAAUUGGGGAUUGAUCCUGCUUUGAGCAGGGGGUUGGACUAGAUGACCUCCUGAGGUCCCUUCCAACCCUGAUAUUCUGUGAUUCUUCCCUAGUGUAACACCAUUGAAGUUGAUGCUGUUAGACCAGGGAUAAAAUUGGAACCUAAUAGCUUCCCAGUACGCUCUGCUCCCAUAAACUCCUCUCCCAUGCUGACCCGUUCCUCAUCACACCCUUCUCUCAUGCCACUUCUCAGCUCCUUUUUUCAUGUUGGCCCCACCCCCCAAGUUAAACAGUGGAAGCUAAAACAAGAAUAGUGAUGACUCAGUGGAGAAGGAAGGCUAGGAAUGGAGGUGGAGGUCCUGGGCUGCUGAGGGCUGAAAUGACAGGCCAGGAGUUGAAUGCCCUGGCCCCAGAAGAUGAAGAGGGACAGCUGGGAGGGGAGCAUGGGUG